AGCCCACGGCUCAACCGUGGAGGGUCAUUGGAAACUGGGGGACUUGAGUGCAGAAGAGGAAAGUGGAAUUCCACGUGUAGCGGUGAAAUGCGUAGAGAUGUGGAGGAACACCAGUGGCGAAGGCGACUUUCUGGUCUGUAACUGACGCUGAGGCGCGAAAGCGUGGGGAGCAAACAGGAUUAGAUACCCUGGUAGUCCACGCCGUAAACGAUGAGUGCUAAGUGUUAGGGGGUUUCCGCCCCUUAGUGCUGCAGCUAACGCAUUAAGCACUCCGCCUGGGGAGUACGGCCGCAAGGCUGAAACUCAA
rnacentral:rRNA from 1 species